GAGUUUGAUCCUGGCUCAGGAUGAACGCUAGCGGCAGGCUUAACACAUGCAAGUCGAGGGGUAUAGUAGCAAUACUAGAGACCGGCGCACGGGUGCGUAACGCGUAUGCAAUCUACCUUUUACAGAGGGAUAGCCCAGAGAAAUUUGGAUUAAUACCUCAUAGUGUUAUAGAAUGGCAUCAUUUUAUAACUAAAGUUCCAACGGUAAAAGAUGAGCAUGCGUCCCAUUAGUUAGUUGGUAAGGUAACGGCUUACCAAGACUAUGAUGGGUAGGGGUCCUGAGAGGGAGAUCCCCCACACUGGUACUGAGACACGGACCAGACUCCUACGGGAGGCAGCAGUGAGGAAUAUUGGACAAUGGGCGCAAGCCUGAUCCAGCCAUGCCGCGUGCAGGAAGAAGCAUCUAUGGUGUGUAAACUGCUUUUGUACAGGAAGAAACACUCCCUCGUGAGGGAGCUUGACGGUACUGUAAGAAUAAGGAUCGGCUAACUCCGUGCCAGCAGCCGCGGUAAUACGGAGGAUCCAAGCGUUAUCCGGAAUCAUUGGGUUUAAAGGGUCCGUAGGCGGUUUGAUAAGUCAGUGGUGAAAGCCCAUCGCUCAACGAUGGAACGGCCAUUGAUACUGUCAGACUUGAAUUACUAGGAAGUAACUAGAAUAUGUAGUGUAGCGGUGAAAUGCUUAGAUAUUACAUGGAAUACCAAUUGCGAAGGCAGGUUACUACUAGUGGAUUGACGCUGAUGGACGAAAGCGUGGGGAGCGAACAGGAUUAGAUACCCUGGUAGUCCACGCCGUAAACGAUGGAUACUAGCUGUUGGGUGCAAACUCAGUGGCUAAGCGAAAGUGAUAAGUAUCCCACCUGGGGAGUACGUUCGCAAGAAUGAAACUCAAAGGAAUUGACGGGGGCCCGCACAAGCGGUGGAGCAU
rnacentral:rRNA from 1 species